CUUGUGAAAGAGUUCUCAGAGAUGCAUUCUCUCAAUGUACUCCUAAUUCUGAUGAGGAUGCUGCUUGUCCUGCCUAUGAUCCUAACGUGGCCCAAAGAUCCCACUCUACUGGUGGUUCGUCCCAUUGGAAACCCCCUUGAUACCCCACUGCCAACACAAGUGCUUCAAGGGCACGUCAUGUGAGUGGGUUAGUACCGCAGAGCAGCUGAUCCUUUGUGAUGAGAGUGUGAUGCCAGCUAAAUCAGGUGAUCCAAACUACAUUUUAAUGGCUGGGCUGAGCAGGACAGCUGAGUCGGAUUUUAUUCACUCAGAAGUGGGACAGGACAGACCAAUCAGCGAGCACUUCAACUUCCUCAGGAAACAGGAGCAUGACCUUGAACAGGAAACAUCCUAUGGCCUUGAAUAGCCACCGAAGACUCAGACUCAGCCCGGGAAUCCGAGUGAUGUCAUGAUAAUUAGCCAGGGGACAGCCCUAAACACCUGGGUGCUCCACUCCAUGGAGUCCUGGCUUGCUCAGUUGUCAAUUGGGGCUUUGGAUAUAAAGUCGACUCCAUCUGCAUAUGUGAUGGGGUGAGGAAGAGGCCGCAGCCAACUUCCCAAGGCACCUGGAGGCUCUGAGGAACUAAUCUGCUCACACCAGUCCUUUCUAACUCUAAUUCCACAUUCACACUAGACUGUCUUGUAACUUGGUGAGCAGCUCAGUCUAUUCCAGGCCCCCCACCAAGUGGUAAAUACUGGAUUACCUCUAGACAGACACACGAAAAGAACACACAAUUCCUGGAAUCAAGAAAGUGAGACUGGAAUGGACUCAAUUUCCUUUCUUUCUUUUAUAACUAAACAUUUUAGUUAGCAUACAAAACAAUGGGUUUCGUUAUGAUAUUUUCAUAUGAAAGUAAUUGUAUAAUUCAUACUCAUCCCCCAACCCAGUUCUCAAUAAGUAUGUUACAUACUAUUUGUCAACUACUGAAUAGGUCCUGAGCCACAUAACUUUAAGGCCUUUCCUAAUUAUCAAUCUGACCCUGGGUAAAUUUACCUCACCAUCUCAAAUAUUACAUACAAUUUAAACAUUGUAGGUUGCUGUCAUAUUUAAUGCCAAUUCCAAUUUCUCUUAAAGUCAAAUCUCUAUUUCCACUGCCAACAUAUAAAUUAAGCACUCUACCACUGAGCUAAAUCCCCAACCCAUCCUUAGCUCUUCUUUUUAAAGAAUUAUUAUUUUUGUAAUUGUGUAUCUAUGUAUGCUUCCGUGUGCAUUUGUACACAUGAGUGCAGGUGUCCACAGAGGCCGAAGGCCUCAGAUUCCCCAGGAGCUGGAGUUACAAAUGGUUAUGAGCCUCCUGACAUGGGUACUAGAGGUAGAACUUGUGUCUUUUGCAAAAGCAGUAUGCAUUCCUAACCACCGAGCCACCUCUCCAGCCCUAUCCUUGGCUGUUCUUAAAAUUCCAAAUACUUAAAACCAAAUAUUUGGGGGCCAGCAAGAUGGCUCAGGAGGUAAAGGCACUUAUCACCAGGCCUGACAAACUGAGUUCAAUCCCUGGAACCCAUAUGGAAGGAGGAGAGAACAAAGUAUUUUGGGUUGUCCUUUGACCUCCACACCCCUGCUGUGACACAUCUGUGCUCUCCCACACCACACAUUAAGUAAAAUCAAUCAAACAAAAACCAAAUCCCGUGCCUUCUUCCUCUCCUACCAGCUCUACCCACAAUCUCAUCUGAAACGAUGAAAACUUGCUCACCUUCUUCCAUAACGAGGGUGUUCAACACCAACAUGGUUCUUUGAGCUAAGAACUCCAAACUCCACUGCUCAUAUCCCUUUCUGUACUUCUGUUCCAUCCAGUUAGUCGCCAGUGCCCGCCUGCUGGUGCACACACCAGACUCUUGAAUUUAUCCCCACUGCUGAUGGAUGGCCAUCUUAUCUUCUCAAGUCUGGACCUCUGUAUCGUUUCCAUC